rnacentral:rRNA from 1 species
GGACUACCGGGGUUUCUAAUCCUGUUUGCUCCCCUAGCUUUCGCGUCUUAGCGUCAGUAAAGGCCCAGUCACCUGCCUUCGCCAUUGAUGUUCCUCCAGAUAUCUACGCAUUUCACCGCUACACCUGGAAUUCCAGUGACCCCUGCCUCACUCCAGACGCCCAGUAUCUGCUGACCCCUCCCAGUUGAGCCGGGAGAUUUCACAGCAGACUUAAGCACCCGCCUACACGCGCUUUACGCCUAGUGAUUCCGAGUAACGCUCGCCACCUACGUCUUACCGCGGCGGCUGGCAC